GAGCAUUCCAGGAGAGAGUGGCACCUGCAAAGGCAGAGAAGCCCGAAAGACAGGCCCUGAGCUGGGAAGCACUCAGCCGCAGUGUGCCCGGGGGAGAGCAAGGAGGGGGAAUGAGGGAAGGCCUGGAAGCAUGUGGCUGGGCCACAGGGUGGAGAAGAACUGGCUCUGAAAAGAUUGGUCUCUAAAGUCUCGAUUUCAAACAAGAAGAACAGACAGUUCCAGCUUCUAAAUACUGGCAGAGAAGAACAGCUACUCUUUUUAGAGGGAGAAAAAAACACACCACCCACCACACACAACUUUCAGCCACAUUUUUGCCAGCAGCAUUCAAAACAAUUCCUGUGAGUUAGCCAAGAGGAGCCCUCAAAAGUUUACUCUCUGCUGCCCCAUGGAGUAGCCAAUUCACCAGCCUUGGACAGGUCUGCUUGUUCCUCUUGGUGGGUUCUGUUUUUCUUUCCUCCCCCACGGUUUUUCGUGAGUUGAAGGGAGGAGGCAGUAAAAGUUCAUUUCAGAUGCAUCAUAAAACUCAGAAGAGGCUGGCCUAUGGCAACUUCGAGCAGGUGGGGUGUGCUGGGCUGUUGCAGCAGCUCCUCUGCGGGGUGGCGUGAAUUCCGAGAGGUUUCCAAGAAUUCUGCCAUGGCUCACUGGGACCUCAGCAGAGGGGCAAGAGCCCAGCCCCACCUUCGCUAGGACUGCUGUCUCCAAUUAGCACGGUGAAUUUCUUUUGUUAGAGAUACUCAAACGCCAUGGUAUCAUUAUUCAUAAAACAGAAUAUUCUUAAAACAGCUUUCUAAUGAGUUUGAAAUUUUUCCUUACUAUAGGCUCCCACAUCGUGCAGUCUAACUGAAGAAAAAUUCCCUGCCCAAGUCCCACAUUCCGUGGACCAAGCAGACCGUAGCCCUCCCAGAGUCUGCAGGCUGGAGUCGCUGAACAAGCAAGUCGCAACAGGAAAAGUACAAAAAGAUGCUCGAUCUCUGUAGUGAGCAAAGGAAAGCACAUGUAAAACACCAAUGAGAUAUCGUUUUCACUUAAGGGGUUCACAGAGAUUGAAAAAAAUAACCCCUGGUGUGGGCAACAGAAUGGAGGAGAAAGAAUUUACAAACAUGAAGGGUGGGCGGUCCGGCAGCGCAUGCGAACAUGGAAACGGGCCCAUGCCCCGCCCGUGUCGCUGCAGGAAUGCCUCCUAAGGAGACGAUCAGACAGACCUGGAAACAGGUGUGCGGAAGGAUGUUCGUUGCGAUGUUUGCUUGCUUUUCCUGACAGUAAAACCCAGAAAAAACACCUAAAUGACCAACCACUGGAAAAAUGGGUAAAGAGGUUAUGGCACGGUUAUUUAAUGGCAUGUUGUGUGGGGCCACGCUAAUUAAUGGUGUCGUUCUCCGUUUCUGAACAGGGAGUCACCCACGACGGACUGCCGAUUGAAGAAGGCAAGGUCGCGAGCAGCCAGGACAGUGUCGGCUUGCUUUCUAAAAAGGAAAAAUAAUCCCAAACCAUUGGACUAAUCUGAGUCUUCACACUGUGACCAGUAAACCUCAUGGAUCUGAUCCAGUUUGGUUCUGGGGGGGUCUUUAUCAGAACGACCACCAGGGCCCAGACGACAGCACCAAGAAUCAGUAACAUCUGGAGUGGGCGCGGGGAGAUGAAAAUCCCCAGAGACAGGGGCGUGGAUUUUGCUGGAGAAUCUAGUAAGCUUCCAAGCCCAAGUUCUUGACUUUCUGUUGUUUCCAGAAUCGGGUGGUUACGAAGCUGGUAAUAAAACAGUGACCUAAACUUUCCAGGCAAAUUGGGUUUUAGAAAACACUAUGGUGAAUUUUAAAAGGCUCAACUGACUUGGAGGAUAUUGGAGCUAACCCACCAUUCAACGAGAUGUGUAUGGAUAUUUUCUUUAGGCAAUAUGAGAGUUAAAAAAAUGUCUCCAUUUAUAGGCAAUGUAAGAAAUGGGAUAAAAAAACACAUUUG